rnacentral:rRNA from 1 species
CAAUAGCGUAUAUUAAAGUUGUUGCAGUUAAAAAGCUCGUAGUUGGAUUUCUGGUUGAAGCGACCGGUCGGGCGUUGAUUCGUCUGCACUGGAGUCGGUUUUGGCCAUCCUCUAGGAAAGUGCGUCUGGUAUUAAGUUAUCGGGCGUAUGAUCCUGGUCUUUUACUGUGAAAAAAUUAGAGUGUUUAAAGCAGGCCUUCGCCUUGAAUACAUUAGCAUGGAAUAAUAAGAUAGGACUUUGGUCUAUUUUGUUGGUUUGCAGACCGAAGUAAUGAUUAAUAGGGAUAGUUGGGGGUAUUUAUAUUCCGAUGUCAGAGGUGAAAUUCUUAGAUUUUCGGGAGAUAAACUUAUGCGAAAGCAUUUACCAAGGAUGUUUNCAUUAA